rnacentral:rRNA from 1 species
UACGUAGGGGGCAAGCGUUGUCCGGAUUUAUUGGGCGUAAAGCGCUCGCAGGCGGCCCGAUGCGUCGUGCGUGAAAGACCCCGGCUCAACUGGGGGGCGUCGUGCGAUACGGGCAGACUUGAGGCAUGCAGGGGAGAACGGAAUUCUGGUGUAGCGGUGAAAUGCGCAGAGUAUCAGGAGGAACACCGGUGGCGAAGGCGGUUCUCUGGGCAUGUUCUGACGCUGAGGAGCGAAAGUGUGGGGAGCGAACAGG